UACAGAGGUCCCAACGUUGUUCGGAUUCAUUGGGCGUAAAGGGUGCGUAGGUGGCGCCGUAAGUCGGGUGUGAAAUUUCGGAGCUUAACUCCGAAACUGCAUUCGAUACUGCGGUGCUUGAGGACUGGAGAGGAGACUGGAAUUUACGGUGUAGCGGUGAAAUGCGUAGAUAUCGUAAGGGAAGACCAGUGGCGAAGGCGGGGUCUCUGGACAGUUCCUGACGCUGAGGCACGAAGGCCAGGGGAGCAAACGGG
rnacentral:rRNA from 1 species